AGAGUUUGAUCCUGGCUCAGGAUGACUCUGGCGGCGUGCUUAACACAUGCAAGUCGAACGAAGCACUUUACUUGAUCUCCUUCGGGAUUGAUUGUUCUGUGACUGAGUGGCGGACGGGUGAGUAACGCGUGGAUAACCUGCCUCACACAGGGGGAUAACAGUUAGAAAUGACUGCUAAUACCGCAUAAGCGCACGGUACCGCAUGGUACAGUGUGAAAAACUCCGGUGGUGUGAGAUGGAUCCGCAUCUGAUUAGGUAGUUGGUGAGGUAACGGCCCACCAAGCCGACGAUAAGUAGCCGACCUGAGAGGGUGACCGGCCACAUUGGGACUGAGACACGGCACAAACUCCUACGGGAGGCAGCAGUGGGGAAUAUUGCACAAUGGGCGAAAGCCUGAUGCAGCAACGCCGCGUGAGUGAAGAAGUAUCUCGGUAUGUAAAGCUCUAUCAGCAGGGAAGAAAAUGACGGUACCUGAUUAAGAAGCCCCGGCUAACUACGUGCCAGCAGCCGCGGUAAUACGUAGGGGGCAAGCGUUAUCCGGAUUUACUGGGUGUAAAGGGUGCGUAGGCGGCUUUGCAAGUCAGAUGUGAAAUCUAUGGGCUCAACCCAUAGCCUGCAUUUGAAACUGCAGAGCUCGAGUGAAGUAGAGGCAGGCGGAAUUCCCCGUGUAGCGGUGAAAUGCGUAGAGAUGGGGAGGAACACCAGUGGCGAAGGCGGCCUGCUGGGCUUUAACUGACGCUGAGGCACGAAAGCGUGGGUAGCAAACAGGAUUAGAUACCCUGGUAGUCCACGCUGUAAACGAUGAUUAC
rnacentral:rRNA from 1 species